UUUGAUAACGAAUAUCGAACUCGCCCAUUAUCUCCGCGGAUGAACCCACUUAUCAUACGGCUCCAGUGAUAACAUCUCUGGGAUUUCAGUCCACUCUAGUUGUAACAGACAGUUGAACCGCUACUCUCGGCGUCCCUCCUCCCCUACAGUUACCAUUUCGCCAGAGACAAGAUGGGCGUCGACUACAUCAAGACUCCGUCGGGCAUCCUGAAGGUGGUGCAGAUUUUGAUGGUGAUCAUCGCCUUCUCCGUUUUCCGCGGAACUCCAGGAUACUUUGGCGGUUUAGGGCUCGACGACGCCAAUGUGUUCGGCGGCGGCGUCCUCGUCACGGCGCUCAUAAUCA